AUACCAUUUAUGGCAACAAAUUAAUCUCUGGAGCUUCCAAGAUACCAAAAAGAAAUAUAUUUGACAGCUGGGAACCAAAGAGAUUAAGGAAGAGAUUUUGCCACCUAAAACCAGAGCAUCCAGCAGGGGCAGAAUCAUGGAAUGGUUUGGAGGGGACCUCAAAGAUCCUUCAGUUCCAGCAGAGUCUGCAGACACACAGGAUUCAUCUCCCUGGGCUUCAGGAGCAGUGGCAGAAACAGGAGGCAGGAAACUCUCCAGAAAUACAGAACACCCCGAGUGGGAGAUGCAGCUGCACUGCUGGGAUUGUCUGUGCCCAGAACAAAUCCAGGUGAGUGCUCUGAGCCCCUGGCAGAGUUACCCAGCAGGGAUGUGGGUGCUGCUCCAGCCCUGGGAAUGUUCAGGCUUGGACAGGGCUUGGAGCAACCUGGGCUAGAGAAUGGAAUCCCUGCCCAGGGCAGGGGGUGGAAUUAGGGGAGAUUUAAGGUCCCUUCCAACCCAACCCACCCCAAACCACUCUGUGAUUGCUGUUGAAGGACUCAAUAGCUCCCUUAAAACUAUUAUGAGUCAUAACUCCUGACAAACUCAUUUCAAGAGCUGUUGUUUCUCCUGCACUGCUGAGGCCACAUUUCAUGGUGUCCAACUCUGGGCUCCUCAGUACAACAGCAUUUUAUGGGCUUGGUGGAUUGGGGUCACCAGAGAUGGGGAAGGGCCUGGAGCAUCUUCUGUGUGAGGAGAGGCUGGGAAGGCUGAGGGUGUUCAGCCUGGGGAACAGAAGGCUCAGGGGAAUGCUGAGCAGGGGUUUAUUGUUGUUCACACUGUGCUUUAUUUCUUCCAGCCUCAGCUUCAACACCCACACCCACACCACGAUGUUUGCACACACUUUGUCAGAAUAUUUCAGGGUUUUCAGCGCAUGUUAAACCCUCAGUGGAGCUGGGGGAUGGUGACACCUGUCCUGCAGCCCCUCCCUCUCUACCUGAGGUGUCACCUGGCAGCAGAUCCUGUGACUGAGCUCGACCUGAGCUGCCUUUCAUCCCUAGGUCUCUGACAAGGUGAUUUUCCUCACCUGGUUUAAGAUUCCCACUCCUUGUGUAUUUAAAUCCCCCCUCAGCUCGUGUCUGCUUGCAGAGAGGACCGGCUGUGACUCGAAGGUGUUUGAAGUCUCAUUUUAACCGGUAUUGCCCAAGUCCAGCCUCCUUCCAGCGGCUCCCUCCAGUGGCUGGCUCCAGGAGCUGGUUUUUCCUGCAAAAACCUCAUUUUUGGGGAACCUCUGUUUGUAACAAGUGUGACAAACUCAAAACCCGAGCAAGCAGCACUGGUUGUGUCCCAGGCACCCCCACGGUGCAUUCCCAAGGUACCAGGUAACACAAUCCCCAUGGAUCUGAGCUCGGGGAAGAAGCACUGAGCUGAGUUUAAUUGAGCCUCUGCAGGGUGAAAUGUGGAGGUGGAAGUGUUGCAAGGUGACAGAAUUUGUCACCAAAAGGCCAGUGCCUCUGGCCUCAGAUGGAAAUAUUAACGGGCAGCCUGUUCCCUAGAGCAGCCACCACUCUCAACCCACCUGACUUUCUUUUUCAGCCUGGAUUGAGCUCCACUAAAACAUGAAAUCCAAAGGAAACACAGCCCCCCCAGUUUUGCUCUCUGCAAUCCCCAGCUCUUGCCAGCCUGCAGUUUGGUACCACGGGGGUGAUUCCUCGGCUGGAAAGCAGGGGCUCUUGCUGUAACAUUGCAAUGGGAAGAGGAAUGCCCUCCUCACCCGGGCUGUGCUCCAGGCACAGGCAGAGGAACUGGCAACGUUCAUUCCUGGAGCUCAGGCACACGCAGGUCAGAGUCAAUCAUGUCAAAAAUACAUCACCUGCACUCAAUAAGUUUCUUAAAAAGGAAUGGGAGACACAGACUGCAAGAAUAAAUCCCAGCAGAAUGGGGCUUGCUUUGAACCAAACCUGUCACUUGCUGUGAAAGGAUAAAUAUGUUGUUCACUGUGAGCAUUUCCCCAGUAUUUAACAGGUGACUUGGCAGGGAGAUUGGGCUCAGCUUUGAAAGGGCUCUGUCUCAAGCCUGGAGAAAUGGGAUUGAGGAAUUGGGGGACAGUGGGAGGCAGGAUCAGAGCUCCUUUUUUCCAGACACACAGUUCCUUCCUAACCUUCUUCAAGAGGCUUGAAUGGCAAACUGGAGAGGGAAGGAGAGUUUCCUCUGGCACUGCAUGGAGAUGGUUGCUCAUAUAAAGCUCAGCCUGGUCCUGCAGAGGAGACAGGAGCCUCCUGCUGCAGGGAUUCUCCUCCAGGGAGGGUCUCACCACAAGGAUCAGCUUUCAGGCCACAGUCUCUGCAGGGUGACUCACCCCUCCACGUCCCCACUGCACAUCGGUCAUGCCACAGGGAUUGAACCAAAGGAGCUGAAAGCACAUUCUUUCCCUGGCCAAAGCCAGGGAUGUCAAGCCAUGGCCACAGAACACUCCAGCAGCCACGGGGCAGGCAGUUCCUGCAGCUCCUCCUGUUUGUCAGAGUGAAUCAGCCCAGCUCUGCUGACAUGGCUGCAGCCUCCCAGCCCACAGCAGCUGGGAACUCUCCCCGUUUCCAGGAGAUAAACACAACUCUGUGGGAUCUCCAGGGGCAAAAAAGCAGCUGAGUCAGGGCUGCAAUUAAAAGGAUUACUCUGAGGCAGAAAUGGAAAGUAAAGGGUGGGAAGUGAGACAGGGAUUGUAGGAAUAGUAGUGGAGGAACCACAGCCACCAUGAAAUAAGAGAACUGGGACCAGUUCCUCCCAAGAGCAGCUCCUGGAUUUGCAGUCAGUUCUGUUUGGUUGGUGUGUAUUCAAGGGUGUGUUGGGAUGGAUAGAAGCAGAUUUCUUGUUGAGGACAGGUGAACUUCUGAGCACCAUUCCCACCUCCUGAAGAGGGUUCCACUCUGGAAAUGGGCUGGAGCCACAGCCCAGUGCAGGCAGGUGACCCUGGGUGAAAAACCCCUCACAGGGGGUGUGGAAGAACAUCCUCCUGUGUCCCAUCUUCCAUCAGCACCCGACACAUAAACUUCAUUUAACUGGGAAUAUUUGAAAGAAGGAAAUAAAGAAGAAAGGAGCAAAGACUAAAAAGAGCAAACACUUCUUCCAAGAGUUAACUUUCCAAAGCAGUGACUCCCUGGGGUGCUGUGCCCUGGUUCAGGCACAGGAACCCAAUUGUCAAGUAGAGAUUUCACGUGGAUUCAAUCAGCAGGCUCUGGGAAGGAAGAGUUCCCACCUCAGCAUUCCUGGGAGUUUGGCAAGAGAGAGCACCUCUGAUGCUCCUCAUUUCACAGCUGGCCGGGUGAGUAUUGCACCAAAAGAGGUUCUUCUGCCACACCAGAGCUGUUAGAACUUGUUCUUCUCUUUCCAUCUCGUUCAGUCACAAGGAAAACUGGAAUAAACAGCACAGGCAACUGCAGGAGAAAGAUGUUGUCUUAUAACUCACGCUCCAGUUCUCACUUUUUCAUUUGAAAGGAGAUUUCUUUUGCCCCGUUGCUGCCAAGUUUCUGUUUUUAAACAGCUUUCCCGGUUCAUAAAUGAAAAAUGACUCCUGAGGGCUGAGUCAGCCUGGACUUCAGGUGGCUGAUUUUGGGAUCAGCCCAGAACCAAGAAGCAGCUCCACAUAUUCCAU